UUUCGCAAUGCCCGAAAGGGUGACGAUGCGACGCCGCGUGGAGGAUGAAGGCCUUCGGGUUGUAAACUCCUGUCAGGGCAAAAGAAGGGGAGGGGAGGAAACUCCCUGACCUUGACUCAGCCCAAAGGAAGCCCCGGCUAACUCCGUGCCAGCAGCAGCGGUAAGACGGAGAGGGCGAGCGUUGUUCGGAAUUACUGGGCGUAAAGAGCGCGUAGGCGGGUCCGUAUGUCAGGGGUGAAAGCCCCCGGCCCAACCGGGGAAUUGCCUCUGAAACUGCGGUCCUCGAGUGGAGCAGGGGGGAGUGGAACUCUCGGUGGAGCGGUGAAAUGCGUUGAUAUCGAGGGGAACGUCGGCGGCGAAGGCGACUCCCUAUGCUUCUACUGACGCUGAGGUGCGAAAGCCAGGGGAGCGAACGGGAUUAGAUACCCCGGUAGUCCUGGCCUUAAACGGUGGGCACUAAGUAGAGGGGUUUUAAUCUC
rnacentral:rRNA from 1 species